UCGCCAGACUCCUACGGGAGGCAGCAGUGAGGAAUAUUGGUCAAUGGGCUUACGCCUGAACCAGCCAAGUCGCGUGAGGGAAGACUGCCCUAUGGGUUGUAAACCUCUUUUGUCAGGGAGCAAUUGGCGCUACGUGUAGCGUUAUCGAGAGUACCUGAAGAAAAAGCAUCGGCUAACUCCGUGCCAGCAGCCGCGGUAAUACGGGGGAUGCAAGCGUUGUCCGGAAUCAUUGGGCGUAAAGAGUUCGUAGGUGGCACGUUAAGUCUGGUGUUAAAUGCAGAGGCUCAACCUCUGUUCGGCACUGGAUACUGGCGAGCUUGAAUGCGGUAGAGGUAAAGGGAAUUCCUGGUGUAGCGGUGAAAUGCGUAGAUAUCAGGAGGAACAUCGGUGGCGUAAGCGCUUUACUGGGCCGUAAUUGACACUGAGGAACGAAAGCCAGGGUAGCAAAUGGGAUUAGAUACCCCAGUA
rnacentral:rRNA from 1 species